GUCGUCUAGCUCGUGUCGUGAGAUGUUGGUUAAGUCCCGCAACGAGCGCAACCCCUAUUGUUAGUUGCCAUCAUUCAGUUGGGCACUCUAGCGAGACUGCCGGUAAUAAACCGGAGGAAGGUGGGGAUGACGUCAAAUCAUCAUGCCCCUUAUGACCUGGGCUACACACGUGCUACAAUGGUUGGUACAACGAGUUGCGAGUCGGUGACGGCGAGCUAAUCUCUUAAAGCCAAUCUCAGUUCGGAUUGUAGGCUGCAACUCGCCUACAUGAAGUCGGAAUCGCUAGUAAUCGCGGAUCAGCACGCCGCGGUGAAUACGUUCCCGGGCCUU
rnacentral:rRNA from 1 species